GCUUAUUUUGUGUUUGUGCGUGAAGCUAACGAUGUAACCAGGUGGUUGAAUCGAUGCUGAUCUAUGAAUUAAACUGAUGCCGGAGGAUAUGUUCGUUAGAUUCACGCACAAACUCGUAAUACGUCU
rnacentral:pre_miRNA from 1 species